UGGGGAAUCUUGCACAAUGGGCGAAAGCCUGAUGCAGCAACGCCGCGUGCGGGAAGAAGGCCUUAGGGUUGUAAACCGCUUUCAGCAGGGAAGAAAAUGACGGUACCUGCAGAAGAAGGUGCGGCCAACUACGUGCCAGCAGCCGCGGUAAUACGUAGGGCGCGAGCGUUGUCCGGAAUUAUUGGGCGUAAAGAGCUCGUAGGCGGUCUGUCGCGUCGGAUGUGAAAGCCCGGGGCUUAACCCCGGGUCUGCAUUCGAUACGGGCAGACUAGAGUGUGGUAGGGGAGAUCGGAAUUCCUGGUGUAGCGGUGAAAUGCGCAGAUAUCAGGAGGAACACCGGUGGCGAAGGCGGCAUCCUGGACCGACAUUGACGCUGAGGAGCGAAAGCUAGGGGAGCAAA
rnacentral:rRNA from 1 species